CCUACGGGUGGCAGCAGUGAGGAAUAUUGGUCAAUGGGCGAAAGCCUGAACCAGCCAAGUAGCGUGCAGGAUGAAUGUCCUACGGAUUGUAAACUUCUUUUAUCAGGGAGUAAAGCCACUUACGUGUAGGUGUUGGCGUGUACCUGAUGAAAAAGCACCGGCUAAUUCCGUGCCAGCAGCCGCGGUAAUACGGAAGGUGCGGGCGUUAUCCGGAUUUAUUGGGUUUAAAGGGUGCGUAGGCGGGAUGUCAAGUUAGCUGUGAAAUCCUUGGGCUCAACCCCGUCCUAGCGGCGGAAACUGGUGAUCGUGAGUGGGCGGAAAGCAGGCGGAAUGCGUGGUGUAGCGGUGAAAUGCAUAGAUAUGACGAAGAACUCCGAUUGCGAAGGCAGCUUGCUGGAGCCGAACUGACGCUGAUGCUCGAAAGCGUGGGUAUCGAACAGGAUUAGAUACCCCGGUAGUC
rnacentral:rRNA from 1 species